rnacentral:rRNA from 1 species
AGAGUUUGAUCCUGGCUCAGGAUGAACGCUGGCGACGUGCUUAACACAUGCAAGUCGAACGAGGAAUUUCCCAUGAGGCUUCGGCGGAUUUUAAAGAUUCUGUAGAGGACGACGGGUGAGUAACGCUUGGGCAACCUGCCCUGCACACGGGGACAACAUCUGGAAACGGCUGUUAAUCCCGCAUAAGCGCUCAGCAUCGCAUGAUGCGCUGUGAAAAACUCCUGUGGUACAGGAUGGGCCCGCGUUGGAUUAGGUAGUUGGUGAGGUAACGGCCCACCAAGCCGACGAUCCAUAGCCGACCUGAGAGGGUGACUCGGCCACAUUGGGACUGAGACACGGCCCAAACUCCUACGGGAGGCAGCAGUGGGGAAUAUUGCACAAUGGGGGAAACCCUGAUGCAGCGACGCCGCGUGAGUGAAGAAGUCUUUCGGUAUGUAAAGCUCUAUCAGCAGGGAAGAAAAUGACGGUACCUGACUAAGAAGCCCCGGCUAACUACGUGCCAGCAGCCGCGGUAAUACGUAGGGGGCAAGCGUUAUCCGGAUUUACUGGGUGUAAAGGGCGUGUAGGCGGAGAAGCAAGUCAGAAGUGAAAUCCAUGGGCUUAACCCAUGAACUGCUUUUGAAACUGUUUCCCUUGAGUAUCGGAGAGGCAGGCGGAAUUCCUAGUGUAGCGGUGAAAUGCGUAGAUAUUAGGAGGAACACCAGUGGCGAAGGCGGCUUUCUGGACGACAACUGACGCUGAGGCGCGAAAGCGUGGGGAGCAAACAGGAUUAGAUACCCUGGUAGUCCACGCUGUAAACGAUGA